UGGGGAAUUUUGCGCAAUGGGGGAAACCCUGACGCAGCAACGCCGCGUGAGUGAUGAAGGCCUUCGGGUCGUAAAGCUCUGUCAGAGGGAAAGAAGUGCAGUGGUGCUAAUACCAUCAUUGCUUGACGGUACCCUCAAAGGAGGCACCGGCUAACUCCGUGCCAGCAGCCGCGGUAAUACGGAGGGUGCGAGCGUCGUUCGGCAUCAUUGGGCGUAAAGCGCGUGCAGGCGGUCUUUUAAGUCUGAUGUGAAAGCCCCGGGCUCAACCUGGGAAGUGCAUUGGAAACUGAAAGACUUGAAUACGGGAGAGGGUAGUGGAAUUCCUAGUGUAGGAGUGAAAUCCGUAGAUAUUAGGAGGAACACCGGUGGCGAAGGCGGCUACCUGGACCGAUAUUGACGCUGAGACGCGAAAGCGUGGGGAGCAAACAG
rnacentral:rRNA from 1 species